rnacentral:rRNA from 1 species
UACGUAGGUGGCGAGCGUUGUCCGGAUUUACUGGGCGUAAAGGGUGCGUAGGCGGACGCUUAAGUCAGCGGUAAAAUUGCGGGGCUCAACCUCGUCGAGCCGUUGAAACUGGGUGCCUUGAGUGGGCGAGAAGUACGCGGAAUGCGUGGUGUAGCGGUGAAAUGCAUAGAUAUCACGCAGAACUCCGAUUGCGAAGGCAGCGUACCGGCGCCCAACUGACGCUGAAGCACGAAGGCGUGGGUAUCGAACAGG